AACGAACGCUGGCGGCAUGCCUAACACAUGCAAGUCGAACGAAGGCUUCGGCCUUAGUGGCGCACGGGUGCGUAACGCGUGGGAAUCUGCCCUUGGGUGCGGAAUAACUCGAAGAAAUUCGUGCUAAUACCGCAUAAUGUCGAAAGACCAAAGAUUUAUCGCCCAAGGAUGAGCCCGCGUAGGAUUAGCUUGUUGGUGAGGUAAAAGCUCACCAAGGCGACGAUCCUUAGCUGGUCUGAGAGGAUGAUCAGCCACACUGGGACUGAGACACGGCCCAGACUCCUACGGGAGGCAGCAGUGGGGAAUAUUGGACAAUGGGCGAAAGCCUGAUCCAGCAAUGCCGCGUGAGUGAUGAAGGCCUUAGGGUUGUAAAGCUCUUUUACCCGGGAUGGUAAUGACAGUACCGGGAGAAUAAGCUCCGGCUAACUCCGUGCCAGCAGCCGCGGUAAUGUGACUACUG
rnacentral:rRNA from 1 species